rnacentral:rRNA from 3 species
GGGACGAGAAGACCCUAUGAAUUUUGAUUAUUAAUUGUUUUAAACUUUAGUUUAUUUUAAGAUAAUGAUAAUUUAAUUGGGGCAAUUGAAAUUUAAUAAGAAAUAUUAUUUUGAUCCGUAUAAACGAUUAAAGGAAUAAAAUACUCUAGGGAUAACAGCGUUAUUAUUUUUUUUAGAUCUUAUAUACAAAAUAGAUUGCGACCUCGAUGUUG